rnacentral:rRNA from 1 species
GACGAACGCUGGCGGCGUGCUUAACACAUGCAAGUCGAACGGGAGUAUUGAAGAAGCUUGCUUUGGAGAUACUUAGUGGCGGACGGGUGAGUAACGCGUGAGGAGCUGUCCUAUGCAGGGGGACAACAGCUGGGAAACGGCUGCUAAUACCCCAUAAAGCCGAGAGGUAAAAGGAUCAAUCCGGCAGAGGAGGUACUCGCGUCCUAUCAGCUAGUAGGUGAGGUAACGGCUCACCUAGGCGAAGACGGGUAGCCGGCCUGAGAGGGCGAACGGCCACACUGGAACUGAGAUACGGUCCAGACUCCUACGGGAGGCAGCAGUGGGGAAUAUUGGGCAAUGGGGGAAACCCUGACCCAGCGACGCCGCGUGGGUGAAGAAAUCCUUCGGGAUGUAAAAGCCCUGUUGUAUGGGAAGAGCGGAAGACGGUACCAUACGAGGAAGCCCCGGCAAACUACGUG